CAGCUAGUUGGUGAGGUAACGGCUCACCAAGGCUAUGAUCGUUAGCUGGUCUGAGAGGAUGGCCAGCCACACUGGAACUGAGACACGGUCCAGACUCCUACGGGAGGCAGCAGUGGGGAAUCUUGCACAAUGGGCGAAAGCCUGAUGCAGCGACGCCGCGUGGGGGAUGAAGCUUCUCGGAGUGUAAACCCCUUUCGACCCGGACGAAUGCCCCGCAAGGGGACUGACGGUACGGGUAUAAGAAGCCCCGGCUAACUACGUGCCAGCAGCCGCGGUAAGACGUAGGGGGCCAGCGUUGCUCGGAAUUACUGGGUGUAAAGGGUUCGUAGGCGGUGUGGCAAGUCGGGAGUGAAAUCUCUGGGCUCAACCCAGAGGCUGCUUCCGAAACUGCCGUGCUUGAGUGUGGGAGAGGCGCGUGGAAUUGCAGGUGUAGCGGUGAAAUGCGUAGAUAUCUGCAGGAACACCCGUGGCGAAAGCGGCGCGCUGGACCACAACUGACGCUGAGGAACGAAAGCUAGGGGAGCAAACAGGAUUAGAUACCCUGGUAGUCCUAGCC
rnacentral:rRNA from 1 species